AGGAACUACCAAACACUUAAAAAACUAUCAGAUAUCCUGAGAACUCACUCAUUACCAUGACAACAGCAUGGGGGGAAACUGCCGUCAUGAUUCAGUUACUUCCACCUGGUUUCUCCCAUGAUAUGUGGGCAUUAUGGGGAUUACAACUUAAGGUUUCUGGCAUUCUUCAAAGUUGUGAAACAAGACAUAUUAUCUGUGUGGAGCUCCUACAUAGUGGAAAGUUGGACAAAAAUGUAGAGAAGUAAAUAAAUAAAUGGCUAUGAAAGUAGACGAUUGUUAUAUCUUAAACAUAAAAUAAAUUUGGGACCUAUAAUAGAGAGUAUUCAUAGCCUGACUAGGAGGGUAUGGUCAGAAAAGACUUUUCAAGAGUGACUUCUUCAGUAAGACCUAGAUAACAAGUCAACCAUGCAAAUCUCUGAGGAAAGAGCAUUCUACCAAGAAGCAGAAACUAGUGCCACAAUCCUGAAGCAGAAAAAGCACUGCAACUUUAAAUACAGUUGUCCCUUCUCAUCUGUGGUUUCACUUACUGUAAUUUUAGUUACUUGUGAUCAACUGCAGUCUGAAAGUAUUAAAUGGAAGAUCCCAGAAAUAAACAAUUUGUAAAUUCAAAA